rnacentral:rRNA from 1 species
UACGGGGGGGGCAAGCGUUGUUCGGAAUUACUGGGCGUAAAGGGCGCGUAGGCGGCCUUCUAAGUCAUGCGUGAAAUCCCCGGGCUCAACCCGGGAACUGCGUCUGAUACUGGAUGGCUUGAGUUUGGGAGAGGGAUGCGGAAUUCCAGGUGUAGCGGUGAAAUGCGUAGAUAUCUGGAGGAACACCGGUGGCGAAGGCGGCAUCCUGGACCAACACUGACGCUGAGGAGCGAAAGCCAGGGGAGCAAACGGG